UGAGUGAACCAUGCGGUCGCUGAUUUCGAUUUGUCGAAGUCAGAGGAAAGUCCGAACACCGCAGGGCAUGGCGCUGGGUAACGCCCAGGUACCGUGAGGUAACGGAAAGUGCAACAGAAAAUAUACCGCCAUUUUUAAUGGUAAGGGUGAAAAGGGGGUGUAAGAGACCACCGCGCAGUGUGGCGACACAUUGCGGCACUGUAAACCCCGCCAGGUGCAAGACCAUGUAGGGAAGCUUUUGAAGUCUGCCCGGCUGAUGCUUCCGGGUGGGUCGCAUGAGGCAGUCAGUAAUGGCUGUCCCAGAUGAAUGACCGCACUAGACAGAAUUCGGCUUACAGGUUCACUCACUAA
rnacentral:RNase_P_RNA from 1 species